GACGAACGCUGGCGGCGUGCUUAAUACAUGCAAGUCGAACGGAAAGGCCAUGAUCUUGCGGGGUGCUUGAGUGGCGAACGGGUGUGUAUCACGCGUGUAUCCUGUCCUUGAAUUUGGGAUAAUUCUAGGAAAAUGGGGCUAAUACCGGAUAGGAGCUUCUGAUGCACGGUGGGCGUUGGAAAGAUUCGGUGGUUGGGGCUGGACUCGCGGGUUAUCAGCUUGUUGGGUGGGUAGUGGCAUACCAGGGGUUUGACGGAUAGCCGGCCUGGGAGGGGGACCGGCCACAUUGGGACUGAGGUACGGCGCAGACUCCUACGGGAGGCAGCGGUGGAGAAUAUUGCACAGUAGGCGGGAGCCAGAGGCGGCAGCGCCGCGUGCGGGAAGACCGCCUACUAGGGGAAAACCGCUUUCGCCUGAAACGAGGCGUGAGUGACGGUAAUGAGUAAAGAAGCACCGGCUAACUACGUG
rnacentral:rRNA from 1 species